GGGCCCGCACAAGCGGAGGAACAUGUGGUUUAAUUCGAUGAUACGCGAGGAACCUUACCCGGGCUUGAAAUGCAUCUGAAUAACUUGGAAACGAGUUAGCUGUUACAGGCAGAUGUGUAGGUGCUGCAUGGUUGUCGUCAGCUCGUGCCGUGAGGUGUCGGCUUAAGUGCCAUAACGAGCGCAACCCUUAUCUUUAGUUACUAGCAGGUAAAGCUGAGGACUCUAGAGAGACUGCCACCGUAAGGUGUGAGGAAGGUGGGGAUGACGUCAAAUCAGCACGGCCCUUACGUCCGGGGCGACACACGUGUUACAAUGGGGGGGUACAAAGGGCAGCUACCAGGCGACUGGAUGCUAAUCUCAAAAACCUCUCUCAGUUCGGAUCGGAGUCUGCAACUCGACUCCGUGAAGCUGGAUUCGCUAGUAAUCGCGCAUCAGCCAUGGCG
rnacentral:rRNA from 1 species